rnacentral:lncRNA from 1 species
GUCUAUAUCUCAGACCCAGUUGUGCCUUCUGCUCCUUGUUUUGCCUUCUCUUUGCUUGUAAUGGCGAGCUCCCACACACACUGUGAAGGACUCUUUAGACCAGAUUGUCUGUCUUUCUGCUCAGCAGCUCCAGCUGCCCGAAGGACCCAGAAGAGGUCCUGAGACGCCAUUGAAGUCACUGUUCCUAACACAGCAGCAAAGGAGAACAAACUUUACCCGCCACCUCUCUCUGCUGGCGUGUAGGACCCAGAUAUCAGAAGCACAAAGUCUAACUAAAGCAGGCAAGACACUGCUAGUUCUGGGACACACUUGGGCCUUUCUUCCUCUGGGCUACAGGUGGUCCCACCUACAGCUGCUGCCUCUUUGACACUCAAAGGCUCCUCUAUUUCUUCCAUCGCUGUGCUGCGCAGAGUUUUCUGUUGGAUUGACACAAGCUAGAGACGUCAGGGAAGAGGGAACUUCAACGGAGAAAAUGCCCCCAGCAGAAUGACCUGCAGGCAAGCCUUCGAGACCUUUUCUUAAUUGAGGACUGUGGUGUGGCUGUGCUCUGCUCACUAUGGGCAGUGCCACCUCUGGGCUGGUGGUGUAAGAAAGCAGACUAAGCAAGCUGAGAGUAGCAGGCCCGUAAGCAGCCUUCCUUCAUGAGCUUUGCUUCAGUUCCUGGC